GGAGGUAUGGUGUAAUGGCAACACAGAAGAUUUUGGUUCUUUUAUUCGAGGUUCGAGUCCUUGUACCUCUACAA
rnacentral:tRNA from 1 species